GUUUGAGCGAGGGCUGGGGGCUUCCCUUCCGUAGGACGAGGCUCCGGGUGCGCUAUGAUCACGGAGCUGACAGAACCCCAGGAUUGUUCCACAUGUCCGUGUUUAGAAUGGAGUGGAAUGCACCGCACCAGAUUCCUCCCCCAGGGUGGGGCACGUGUAUCUACUCUAGGAGAAAGAAGAAUCUUAAAAGAAGCAAGAUAGAAGUGUAGAAGUGUCAAG